rnacentral:rRNA from 1 species
AGCAGCCGCGGUAAUUCCAGCUCCAAUAGCGUAUAUUAAAGUUGUUGCAGUUAAAAGCUCGUAGUUGAAUUUCGGAAUUUGUCGGUCGGUCGGGCUUUAUUGUCCGCACUGGCCUGAUAGAUUCCUACCUUCUGAAUAACCAGCAUGCUAUUAAUUUAGUGCGUUGGGGAAGCAGAGCUAUUACCUUGAAAAAUUAGAGUGCUUAAAGCAGGCUUAUGCUUGAAUAGAUUAGCAUGGAAUAAUAAAAUAGGACGGCCUGGUUCUAUUUUGUUGGUUUCUAGGAUCACCGUAAUGAUUAAUAGGGAUAGUUGGGGGCAUUAGUAUUCAAUUGUCAGAGGUGAAAUUCUUGGAUUUAUUGAAGACUAACUUCUGCGAAAGCAUUUGCCAAGGAUGUUUUCAUUAAUCAAGAACGAAAGUUAGGGAUCGAAGACGAUCAGAUACCGUCGUAGUCUUAACCAUAAACUAUAGCCGACUAGGGAUCGGACGAUGUUAAUUUUUAUGUACUUCGUUCGCGCCUUAA